GUGCUCUUGACUUCAGAGCCAUAUCUCAACCAAUUAUAUUUGAUAACAAAUAAGGUAUACUGAGUAAUACGUUAUACAUUUCUAAGGCCUAUUCAGCGUCACCGUGACAUUGUGUAGCUUUGUGUCCUUGCUCACCUUGUUGGGCUUUAGCUCUUGGAAAAACCGAGUUAUACAAAAACUGUGGUAACCUAUAAUGGUAUGCGAUAAAAGCAAGCCACCAGGCUCCUAUGGACGAGGCUACAGCAUUUAUGGUUUAUUUGGAUGAUAAAGGAGCUUCACCUCAAAUUACAAAGACUCAAACUUAACAGAGACAAAGUUGCAAAAUCUGAAUCUUAGGAAAGUUGCCAACUUAUUGUAAACUGUUGAGGACAAUUAACAAUGCACGUCCAGAACAGGAACACGGUUUAUUAAGCUCCUGUGUAUGUUUCCAAAGUUAAGCACAAAACAAGUUACUAGAAACUAGGGAAGUUUGUUCAGGUCAGAUAUCCUUACUAUUACAGCCCUGAACACUUUAAGAUGUUGGAAAACUGAUGCUGCCCUGGGUCUACUGCCUGCACUGAAAUCAAGACUCCCACAGUGGAACCUUCAGGGAUUGUCCAGGUAAGGGAGAAGUCUGUCAUUUUUAAGACAUUUGGAAGCUGCUUGGUCUGUACCUACUUACUCAGGUGAAAUUCACGCUUCCCAGAGCUCUGAUGGUGUUGACUAGGGAGAGUUUUGUCAGUUCAACCGCAAGCAACAACAUGGGCUUCAGGUGCUCCUCAGUUCUCUCCCUGUGUAAACAUCAUAGGCCACUUUCCUAGAGUUGCUACUGUGUCCAGACACUGAUCACAUUGUUGCGAGAUUCUAAGAAGAGAUAAAUCCACGCAACAGAUUUCAAUGCAACUUUUUACUAUCCCUUUUUGUAAAGGAAGAUGUUUUACAAUGAUUGCUCUCAGUAACCAACCACCUGCAUCUUGUGAUGUGCUUCAGGGAAAUGCUAGCUCCAGGUGUUUCCUCAAAAUCCAGGUGCCACACAGCUUCAAAGCACCUGCCCCAUGAUGGUUCAACUUAAAGAUGAGUCUGCAUUCCUCAGCUGCAGAUGGCCCUGCAGAGCCUGGACAGUGAGGGGACAGUCUGCUGUUUUUGAACCUCCCCAGCUUCCCAGCUUUCUUGGGUCUUCAGAGAUAUUGCCAUACCCCAGAGAUCAGGAGGCAGUCUAAAGAGUAUGAUGACCUUGUGAGGCCUCAUGGAUCACCCCUUCCUAUUUUCUCACUGUACAGAGUGAAUAAGAGGAAGGGAUGUCUGUAACCAACAACCACCCACCUUCCAGAACCAGCCUUCUCUCAGACCCUCAGUGCUAGAAGCCACAUCAUCACCAGCCACCAAAUGUGACACAUUUCCACUGUGGCCACAAGUUGUGCACCUUUAUCCUGCCCAGGUCUUCGCAGACGGCUCUUUUUCUCUUCCACCCACUACCCACCCCCAAUAAAUCUCUCACAUGAA
rnacentral:sRNA from 1 species